UAGGUGACCCAUAUGGGAUAAGUAUGAUGG
rnacentral:piRNA from 1 species